rnacentral:lncRNA from 1 species
CAAUGCUAAACUGAUCCGACACAAUACUUUAAGGCAGAAAAGACACAAAAAAAAAUCAAAAAACACACGUUUUAUUUGCUUUAAACACCAAGUAAGAUCUGCUAAAGCCUCUUUGGCAGUUUUGAUUUUCGGUUAAAAGCUGCCAAGAUUUGACAAACAGUGUUUUAACAGUUAUCCAGUAGGUUACAGAUAAAUCAUAAAUUAUCCUCACACACUUUCACCACCCAUACUGCCCUGCUCGGUCAUACAAAGCGGCUCAAUGGCCUACUUUCUGUACAAAGCCCCACGUUAAGAUUAAUUGAGGAGGCAGACUUGAGGUGUAGGUUGAAAUACGACAACAUUUGACGUGUCAAGACACAAAUAAAGAGAAGAAAAAACAUACAGUGUUGCCGUUUAGGAAAUAAGCUAACAUCAGUGUCUUUCGAUCGCUAGCAUAGCAUAGUUAUCGUUAUCCACACCCAAAGUUUGCCCCUGAAGACAAGCAUUCCUCGCUUCUCCCCUUUUGUCUUUUUAGUGUUUCCAGUCGCCCUAAACACGGCAGACUUGGUCAAAUGAAACAAAUGUGGGUUAACAUAACAACACGUACCUUGUCUUGAUGUUAUUCUGGCGUUUCGGUCGGUUUAAAGAAACAUCUGCCCCAGAAAGGUCUCCUCUUUUAACGGUUACCGAGGCGAAGACUAGCUAAAACUGUUAUAAGGGUCCGCUUUGUUUUAGCUAAUAAACCGCACCGCUCCGACGUGCCCUGUACGUAACGUUUCCUCGUACGGGUACCGUUGUUCACUUUUCUUGUUAUAUAUGAUAUGUUAAGUAAAAAUAUAUAAAAGGCGAGGACUCCCCAGCUCGCCCGGACACGUUACAGCCGCUACUGGGUCGUUUUUUUAAUGCCCCAGCUCAACAGACCCCUUUUCUUAUUUAGACGCCGCCCACACAGGAAGAGCCGCGGUGAAGGAGCUAACGCACCGCGGAGGUUUAUCGGGGGUGAACCCUUCGUCACCUCGGAUGUGGUGAACGGUCCCUGCUCGCACACACACAUACACAGGUGUAACAGUGUUUUCAGGAGCUAUUCUGGGUGA